AUAUUCACACGUGGUGGUUUGUUGUCUGCGUGUUACAAAAAUGUAACAAUGCCCGUCUCGCAAAAGUUGGUGUGUCCCUUGCCCUAUGAUGUCGUUGCCAUGUUGGGUCAUGCAACUUUCUCCAGAUUCGUUGUCGAGGAACGUGUUGUAUCUCUACUUGUGAGGUGGUUUCAGUGUGUCCGUCGUCAACUCGAUUUUCUUAAAAACCUGAAAAACUGCAAGACGUUCAUGGUCCGGUCAUAUCAAAUGUUUGAGGACCUACCUGGAUCUGUUUGGGCCUACAACUACGUCCAUUCACUGAGCGGAUUUGGGAUUACCCAUCGAGGACUCGAAAAGAUAGGAGAGAACAAGGCCAGUUUCUUCGGUAAAAUUAUCCAG
rnacentral:misc_RNA from 1 species